rnacentral:ncRNA from 12 species
GGGUCUAGGGUUAUCCCCUAGAGGUUGUUUUGAUGGUCGGGCCGCCAUCU